CGGUUCAAUGAGCAAGUUUUUCCGCUGUCCACAAGCCCUGUUCUCAUUUAGUCAGAUUACUGGGCCAAAGGCGCAGCCGCCAGACUCGGAGGACAUGCGGAAGGGACGCCAACCAGCAUUUGGACACGCAGUAGACAAUCACAAAAGCAGAGGAAAAAGUUGCAAGUUGGAUGUCAG